GCCCGGUUAGCUCAAUCGGUAGAGCGUGAGACUCUUAUCAUAAUUGGACAUCUCAAGGCUGCGGGUUCGACCCCCGCAUUGGGCU